GACGAACGCUGGCGGCGUGCCUAAUACAUGCAAGUCGAACGCAGUGGGGACGGGUGAGUAACACGUGGGUAACCUGCCAUAAAAGGGGAUAACACUUAGCAACAUGUGCUUACCCCCUACUGAUGGAUGGCCCCGCGGUGCAUUCGCUAGUGGGAGAGGUACCGGCUAACCAAGGCAACGAUGAAUAGCCGAGCUGAGAGGGGGAUCGGCCACACUGGGACGGAGACACGGCCCAGACUCCUACGGGAGGCAGCAGUAGGGAAUCUUCGGCAAUGGACGAAAGUCUGACCGAGCAACGCCGCGUGAGUGAAGAAGGUUUUCGGAUCGUAAAACUCUGGUGUUAGAGAAGCGGUACCUAACCAGAAAGCCACGGCUAACUACGUGCCAGCAGCCGCGGUAAUUC
rnacentral:rRNA from 1 species